UACGGGGGGGGUAAGCGUUGUUCGGAAUUACUGGGCGUAAAGGGCUCGUAGGCGGCCAACUAAGUCAGACGUGAAAUCCCUCAGCUUAACUGGGGAACUGCGUCUGAUACUGGAUGGCUUGGAUCCGGGAGAGGGAUGCGGAAUUCCAGGUGUAGCGGCGAAAUGCGUAGAUAUCUGGAGGAACACCGGUGGCGAAGGCGGCAUCCUGGACCGGUAUUGACGCUGAGGAGCGAAAGCCAGGGGAGCAAACGGG
rnacentral:rRNA from 1 species